AAUUUUCGGCAAUGGGCGAAAGCCUGACCGAGCAACGCCGCGUGAAGGAAGAAGUCAUUCGUGAUGUAAACUUCUGUUAUGAAGGAAGAACGGCAGAUGGAGGGAAUGCCAUGUGCGUGACGGUACUUCAUGAGGAAGCAACGGCUAACUACGUGCCAGCAGCCGCGGUAAUACGUAGGUGGCGAGCGUUAUCCGGAAUCAUUGGGCGUAAAGAGGGAGCAGGCGGCAGUGCAGGUCUGCGGUGAAAGACCGGAGCUAAACUUCGGUAAGCCGUGGAAACCGCACAGCUAGAGAGCAUCAGAGGAUCGCGGAAUUCCAUGUGUAGCGGUGAAAUGCGUAGAUAUAUGGAGGAACACCAGUGGCGAAGGCGGCGGUCUGGGGUGCAGCUGACGCUCAGUCCCGAAAGCGUGGGGAGCAAAUAG
rnacentral:rRNA from 1 species